rnacentral:rRNA from 1 species
ACGGGCCAGACUCCUACGGGAGGCAGCAGUGGGGCAUAUUGGACAAUGGGCGAAAGCCUGAUCCAGCCAUGCCGCGCGUGUGACGAAGGUCUUCGGCUUGUAAAGCACUUUAAGUUGGGAGGAAGGGCAGUUACCUAAUACGUGAUUGUUUUGACGUUACCGACAGAAUAAGCACCGGCUUACUCUGUGCCAGCAGCCGCGGUAAUACAGAGGGUGCAAGCGUUAAUCGGACUUACUGGGCGUAAAGCGCGCGUAGGUGGUUUGUUAAGUUGGCUGUGAAAGCCUCGGGCUCAACCUGGG